UACAGAGGUCUCAAGCGUUGUUCGGAUUCAUUGGGCGUAAAGGGUGCGUAGGCGGCGCGGUAAGUCGGGUGUGAAAUCUCGGAGCUUAACUCCGAAACUGCAUUCGAUACUGCCGUGCUUGAGGACUGGAGAGGAGACUGGAAUUUACGGUGUAGCGGUGAAAUGCGUAGAUAUCGUAAGGAAGACCAGAGGCGAAGGCGGGUCUCUGGACAGUUCCUGACGCUGAGGCACGAAGGUGAGGGGAGCAAACGGG
rnacentral:rRNA from 1 species